CGGCUGGGUUGAGUGUUCUCUUAGGAAUGGUGGAGAACUGGGUCCUUGAGGAGUCAUCGGGGAGACUGCUCGCAUCGUUUGCGGUGCGACGGGCACUGGCCCAGGGACAGAACGAAGAGAAGUGCCAGCCAGCAGCAGUGGAGUCGGCAGUCUGGCUGCGCACUCGUUUUCUCCUUCCCCGGCCUUCGAGGAUCUCGAACGGACCAUAGUCUGGGCUCGCUGGACUGGAGGAAACUUGGCCGCCGGCCACCCGGAGGAGACUGAGAAGCCUUUGGUCAACAAGGCGCCUUUCCUUGAACCAAAACAAAACUUUCCGAAGCCGGAAAGGAAACGCCCAAUGUCGCCUCAGAGCCCUGGAGCUGCGCAAAACCCAGGCACCGAGUUCGGCCUCGGCCGCUGACCUCUGGCACCGCCGGAGCAGACCAGCCGGGGCGGCCAGCAAGCCUGCGGGAGCGGAAUGUGACCCGAAACCGAGGGACUUCCUGACCCAGGCAGUUAAUUAAAACAACAAAGUGCGUAGUUCUCUUAGCAACUUGAACAUUUUGGAAAAAGAAACAAGUCUUAACAUGCCUCGACCUAAUGGAAAGACUAAAUCCCCUUCCUAUACUUUGCUUUCCAAAAGUUAAAAUAUACUAAUAAACUCUAGUAGAGGUCUCAAGUUCACUGCCACCAGGUCAGCUAGGUCCAGAGUCUUCGAUUCUUGAAGCCAAGCCCUACAAAUGGAUUUAGAGUAGCACAUCACACCUCCUCAGGUGACUUAAAACAAUAAACACUAAUAAGAUGACCACGGAGAAAUUAUUUUCAUCCUCAGAAGUAAAAAUCAUGAGGUGCCUUUCAACUGAACAAAAUUUCAGUCUAGACUGAAAUUCAUAGCUGGACACAUUCCUCACUUCAAAUGAGAACUCCUGUUUACCUGGCAGUGAAUUGGAAUUUGGAGAAGGAAUAGCAAAGUGGAAGUCCUUCUCCUAUUUCAUGCCUUAACUUGUUUUUAUUGGAAGUUACUUCCUUUUUCGUCUCAGAGGCUGAUUCUCCUCCCAUAACCAGUGAUUUUCCUAUAAGCUCAUUAUCCUGGAUGAUGGUUUGACUAACCAAGGCUACUGGCUGCUGAGGGGUUUCUGAGGAAACUUGGGUAGCCUGAUAGAGGCCAUCUGCCUCUCCACGUGGGUUCUAGUUGUGGAGUACACUGCUAUGUUCAUGGAGGCCAUGCACAUUGGCCAGAGAAGAGCAGCCCCAUUGCAAAAGGAUCUAAAUGAGUAUUUUCCAUGCUCACGGGUCAAAUGAGAGGACGUCCCACAUUUAUUCAGAAGGUAGUUGAAAGUGGUCAGCCCCAGAUCUCCUCCAUAUGACUCUUUGGUUGAUGCUACUUGUACCUCAAUACUUGGAAGGCCCAUUCUGGCCAGGAACAACUUUCACUUUACUCUGAAAACAUGGGCAGGUGGGCACAGAAUAGAGCGACUCUAUCCCUGGGACAGAAACUCCUUCAGGCUUUGUGGCAGACACUGUUAUAUGAGUCUUUAGGUGAGUUAACUCAUUUACUCUUUGGAACAAUCCUCUGAAGUAGGUUUUGUUAUUAUCCUCAGUUUACAGACACAGAAACUGAGACACAGAAAGACCAUUCACAGUAAGUGGUUGAGGCAGGACUGAAACUCAAGAAGCCUUGUGACGGUUGUGAUGAGUUAGUAGUGAUGGUGGCUACGAGGUAGGUGUGUGAAUAGAUGUGUAGUGGCUUCUCCUCCAAUGGAAAACUCCCAAAGCAUUAUGAAACAGCCUGGUAGCUGCAGUUGCCCAGGUGUGCAGGAGCAUCGGUGAGCUCAGCAGACUCUGUUCCAAGUCACAUUAAAGAGGCUGAUUUAUCGCAAACCUAUCUCCUAGAGACAGAAUAUAGUUUCCAAAAAUGGACAAAACAUGACCUCCCAACCCACAUGCUGUUCUUACGAUGUAACUUUGAUAUUAUAUUCAUGUUUAGAGGUGGAGGUCCAUGUUUCUUCCCUUUGAUGCUGGGCAGAAUUCUGACUACAAUGGAAAUAAUGCUAUAUGGCUUUUGAGGCUAGAUCCUAAAAGGCAGUGCAAUACACAUAUAGUUCUCUUGGAACCUUUAAUCUCGAAAUCCAACCACCGUGCUGUGAAGAAGCCUGCAUGCAGCCCAUGGAGAAGUCCACACAGCCAGAAAAUCUUAGGCCCAAGGCUCACAUCCCCAGCUGAGCUACCAGCCUAUAGCCAGCCCCAAGGUACUGCCAUGUGAAUGAGACACCUUGAAAGUGGAUCCCCCAGGCCCAGGCAAGCCAUUCCUGCCAAUAAAAUGUGGAACAGAGAUGUGAUUCCUUUUUAAGCCCUCCCCAAAUAACAGAUUCAUAAGGAAAAAUAAAGGACUGCUGUUGUUUUAAGCCACUAGGUUUUGGAGUAGUUUGUUAUGUAGCCUUACAUACAUUCCUGGAUAUUACCUACUUGUCUCCAAAAAAUCCAAAGCUUUAGUCUAAUAGGUGGGACUUCCCCUGAGGGCUCCAGCAAUCAUCAAACUUUUCCCAUAACUUUCACCAAAUUGUUGAGCUGCUCUAGGAGAGGAAGAAUAUCAAGAGUAUAUU